UUAAUGAAGAAACAUGAUAUCAAAAGUUUUUAUCAACCUGGAAAAAUAAGUUUUUUUGAAUGGAAGAGCAAGUUGUAUUUAGUGACGGCUGAUGAGGGAGCACCAAUAAAUAUACCAGAUUUACCGUUUACAGAUUAUGACAGAGCUUUAAGUCUACAUACAAAGGAUGAAUUUAAAGUUGAUUCACAACUCGACGCUGAACUAAGUACCAACUCCCAGUUGGGUAGGUUGUAUGUAAGCCAUUAUCAUGAUGGUCGAAAUCUAGUCAACGGUAAAAUAGAAACUGUGCAUACAUUCGGCGGGAGAGGUUUCUCGGUAUUUAACGCACAGACUAUGAUAAGAGACUGGGAGAGCGGGGAUCAGAUAGAAAAAUAUAGUAGAAUGUUUUACCCAGACACAUUUAAUGGUGACAGUACCAAUGGUAACUUUAUUCCUCCACAGGAAAGGGACUCACAAUCUCCAAUUACAGGUACAUCAUUAAAUGCUAUAGUCGACGGAGAAUUCAAUGGUAAAAAGUUAUUGAUACUAGCAAGUGGAAAAUCUGGAUUGCUAUAUGUAUAUGAGCUAGCAGACACUGUUAGCACUAGAACCAACUUAUUAUUUCAAAGCGUUCAUCGACGAGGAGAGAUAACCGAUACAUGGACAAGACUUUAUUCAGCAGGCACAAUCGGAGAUGCUGGAAUAGAAGAUUUGACGUUUAUACCAUUAAGUGAGAGUCCCGUGACAGGAUCUCCAGUUCUUGUGGUGGUAUCAUCCAAGAGUGGGACAGUUUCAUCGUACACCUUCAAAGAAGAACAAUUCCCUUCAACCGCAGACGGUGGUGUAUGUCGACCGCCAUCAUUCAAUUAAACAAUAGUUUUCUUGCAACUUCAAUAAAAAUUUAAAAAUUA